AUUUUAAAAUCACAUUUACAAAUCAAAUAAGUCAUAAAAGCUUUUUUUUAUGUCAAAAUUAAAUUUUAAAAUUUUAAAAUUUUAACUUUAACACACUACACAACAAAACACACUCUUUUCAAGUCAAGUAGGUGGGCCCCACAUAUUAUAAAACAUACAAUCCAAUUAUAAUUAAUUAUCUACACAAUCAAAACAGGUGGGGUCCACAACGAUUAAUUUUUAUUUGUCAUUUUUCACAAUAAAAAUCACAGUUACAAAUUCAAAACUUCAACUCUAAAAUCAAACGGAUUGUGAAUAUUUCAUUGAAGUGAUUCUCAUCGUCUUCGAAUCAAAUUCUGAUUCUACAUUGAUUCCUUCUCUCCAUUGAGCCACACAUCCCCGCGAAAUCAGUGGGAACGGAAAAGGCAGCAUCAAUGGUGAAGGAUUCAAGGGAUGAAGUAUGAGAAACAGGACUCCGAUGGUGGUGUCGACGAUGCCCAAAGUCAUCAAUGGCGAUGGUUUGGGCGGCUGGGCAGUGUAGGUCAGUGGCAAUGAACGGAGGCGGAGAUGGGAUUUUUUUUUUUUUGCUGAAUAUUAAUUUAAUUAAUAUAAUAUAUAUAUGCGGGCCCUCAUAAAAUAUUCCAAAAGAGAGAUAAGCAUUGAAAUAGGAAUCUCUAUUUUUUUAAGGUGUCUAUGAUCUAUGUGGCGCUUAUGUGAUAGUGUAGAGCUCAGUUCAGAAACACUAAAAAGAGAUAUCCAUGAGAAGUUGUCUUAGUUAUGAACAUUUGACAUGGGAACACAAGAUGUUUUGUUCCCGCUCGUGCAAAAUGUUCAUCCAUCAUGUAAAAAGGGAAUGUAGUGAUUGAGUGACAUGCACUCUCAUUCAAGAAUUAAUAAAUUUUAUAUUCGAUUUUCAAA